AAGAGCCGUUCGAGACUAGGACGUUGAUAGGUUGGAUGUGGAAGCAUAGUGAUAUGUGAAGCUGACCAAUACUAAUUGCUCGUGAGGCUUGACUAU
rnacentral:rRNA from 1 species